AGUCGAUACAACAACUGCUCAGCCAUGGACAGCGCCAGCAGUAUUUUAUCCAUUCGGCUUAGCGGCAGGAGACACUGAACAUGUUGAAACUGGUGGUGAAAGCUACUAUUCUGUUGGUCUUUCAACUCCAUUUAAGUUCUUUGGCCGAACAUACAACCAGAUAUAUGUUAAUUAUAAUGGACUCCUUACCUUCAAUGUACCUUCAACAUCAGGACCAUA